rnacentral:rRNA from 1 species
UGGCUCAGGAUGAACGCUAGCUACAGGCUUAACACAUGCAAGUCGAGGGGCAGCAUGGUCUUAGCUUGCUAAGACUGAUGGCGACCGGCGCACGGGUGAGUAACGCGUAUCCAACCUUCCCCAUAGUAGAGGAUAGCCCGGCGAAAGUCGGAUUAAUACUCUAUGUUCUUCAAUGCAGACAUCUAGGUUGAAGCAAAGAUUCAUCGCUAUGGGAUGGGGGAUGCGUCUGAUUAGGUUGCAGGCGGGGUAACGGCCCACCUGGCCGACGAUCAGUAGGGUUCUGAGAGGAAGGUCCCCCACAUUGGUACUGAGACACGGACCAAACUCCUACGGGAGGCAGCAGUGAGGAAUAUUGGUCAAUGGGCGCGAGCCUGAACCAGCCAAGUAGCGUGCAGGAUGACUGCCCUAUGGGUUGUAAACUGCUUUUAUAGGGGAAUAAAGUGCGGUACGCGUACCGUUUUGUAUGUACCCUAUGAAUAAGGACCGGCUAAUUCCGUGCCAGCCGCUGC